rnacentral:lncRNA from 1 species
CUUAAUCUGUUUAGCUUUAACCAUAUUUGUACCAUUUUGCCCCUGAUAUUUACUCAUAUCUGUUAGGUUAUUUUCUCAUACCCAUGCAGCCUUAUAAUGGUUUUCAUUGCCCAAAAGUAUGAUGCUAUUAGAUGGAAUUAAAAUUUAAAAGUGUGGGGGAGGUUUGUUUUGUUUUAGAUUUUUUAUAAAGAUAUUUCAUUUCACAUAUGUCAAUCUGCCUACCUGUAUUCAACUACCAAAUAUAUUCUUAUUAUAUCUGUUUUUACAUGAAUGGCCCCUGUAAUUUCAAAUUUAACCUACUCGGUUCUUUUUUUCCUAAUAAGACUUAAAUGGCAGCCUACUUCUCAUCUAUAGCAACAUACUUUGCAGCCUACUUUUUUUUUUUAAUGUAAAGUUAUAUCAUCGUACUAUAGAAAUGUCCAUCAAAAUUAGCUUUAAUCAUUGUACUAUAGAAAUUUUAAGAUAAAUAAAAAAUAGGGUGCUAUUAAAUGGAACGAUGAUAUAACUUUACAUUAAAAAAAAGGUUGAAAAUAUACAAAUAUUAGGGCUUUCGCCUAAUUUUCUACAUAGUUAAUUUACGUAACUUUUUUUUUUCAAUCUUUCAGGAAAGAUGUGUCCACAAUAGAUUACGUUUUCUGAAACAAGUUAUUCCACAAGCAAAACAUCCUCACUCGAGCAAAAGGACAACUGGACAAGACUCUUUUAGUCUAAACAAAUUAGGAUCCAAUAUAUAUUGUAACAAUGAAUUUACACUGGAACAAAUAAACGGGUGAACAACGUGUGACAGCUAAAAAAGUAGCAAUACCUUGUGUACUUCAAUUUCAUACUAAGAAUUGAUUUUAACUGAUUUCUCAUUGUGACCGCAAAUGUGUCGACUAGCCUUUUUCCUUACCAAUUUCCUUGAAUAGUUAUAAUUCAAACGUCUGAAGAUUUUAUAUUAUGUGAAUUCAUGAAAAAAGACAAACCAUCCACCAACUUUAUCAGAGGGUAGGACAACAUAGACGAUGGUCCAGUGCCUCCAAAUUUCGGGGGCCUAUUUUUAUAUAUCUACUUAUAUUAUUUUAAAAAUAAAAAAGCUUUUGGUAUUAAGUCAUCGCAAACAGAGACAAAAAAAAAAGACCUGAUUUUUUUUUUGCUCGGGCUUCAAAUCGGCUUGAGUCGGCUCUAUUUCUAUAAAAAAACAUCAUAUGUUUGUAAACUAUCGUCUCUAGCACAUUUUUGCGAACAUAUCCAUGAAAUUGAAUCACCAUCAAAGCAUCAUCAAAAUUGUUUCAUUGAAAUUAACAUAUAUUUGAUUUAGCAAAGUGCUCUGUAAAACUCCGACUUUAAGUAAUUAUUUGACUCGUAAUUAUAAUGCUAAACAUAGUCCAAGUGUCUCAAGAGGAAAAGGAUCAAGUUUGAAAAUGUUUAUUCUACCAAAUACCAAUAAAAUUGUGUUAUCCACAUAAAAAAUGGCUAAUAGACACCGGCAAUUCCAACAUUACUUUUGUUGGGGCACUUUUUAAUCUUUUCAAAAACAUAAAAAACUUUUUAAGUAAACUUUAGAAUUAGUAAGGUAUUCAUACGUAAUUUUGUUUAGUCACUGGGGGGCAUGUGCCCCCCUCUCAAAGCCUUAGAUCCGUCAAUGCUAAUAGACCUUUCUCGACCUUCAUUACACCUUAGUUACCAAAUUUAAGUCUAUAUAUUUUGCUAAGUAUGAACAAUGUAUUUUGUGUUUCAUUAGACUCAUAAUAUAUGUUAUUAAACAUAAUCUAAGUAUUUAAAAUGGAAAAUAAAAGUUUUUGAAAGGUUUAUACAUACAAAAUCAUGUUGUUAAUAUGAUAAUAACAUAAUCUAAGUAUUUAAAACGAUAUAAACUUCUUUGAGGGGAAUCUAGUGUGGAUGCUUAUGCCAUAGAUAAUAAAUUAUAAACUCCAUUGAUAGCAUCUAAUACGAAAAUAACAACACUAUAUUGUUGAAGUUAUUAUUCGAAUUUCUAUGAAUCUAGAAGUCAUAGGAGUUUCCUUUCUCUACAAGUUUCCUUAGUGUAUUAGGAGUUAUAUAUUACCGAGUUAAAGAUAAUACAUAGAAACAAAUUAUAAUUUGAGUUUUGAGUUAUUUUCUCAAUAAAAAUCAGAGAGUUAUUCUGGUUAUCUUUUCUUCCAAGUUUUGAUUUUAGUUCUUUAAUCGGUAUUAGAGCUUCAAGGAUAACCACCAAACAUUGAUAAGCCAUGACUGGUGAAGUACAUCAUUCGAGUGGGAAAGAAGGCGGAACGACUUAUGUUCAGUGUUCCAUGUUUAUCUCCACGAACUACAUCGUCUGGGCUAUGCGUAUGAAGGUUGUAAUGCGAAUCCACAAGGCAUGAGAGACGAUCGAUCUAGGCACUAUGACCUCUAACACCGAAAAGAAUGAUCUAGUGUGAGUUUGUUAUAUCAAUCUAUUCCAGAAACUUUGAUCAUGCAACUUGGCGAGAAAGCAACUGUGAAAACCCUUUGGGAAGCGAUCAAGGCACGAGAUGUAGAAGAUGAACGUGUGAAAGAGGCCCAAGUAUAUACUCUAAUGUCUGACUUCGAUCGUCUCAAGUGUUGGAUUAAGUGUCUAAGCCAAUAACUAAAUUAAUAUAAUCUUGAAUUAUUAGCAAAGACCUUUUGGGUAGCCCUCAAACCUAGUAAUUAACUGAAAUGUUUUCUUGGUGAGAGAGACUGAUUUAUUAAUUUAUUAUAUGAUUAAUAAAUUAAUUAGAAAUCAAAAUAAAUGAUUUAUUAAUAUAUUAUGAGAAUAGUAUAUUAAUUAGAAAUAGUAUUGUUUGAUUAAAAAUUAAUCAGAAAUUAAUUGGAAUUAAUUGGAUUAAUUAAAAGUAGAAGGACAAAUUGUGACAAUCUUCAAAAAUUGAAUAUUGACCAAUUAUAGAAUCUUCCAUAGAGGGGAUGGUUUCUAGAGGAGGUUAUAGAGGUAAUCUUGGGCUCUAAGGAAACUUAGAAUGCCUUAGGGAGGAAACAAGAGGAUUAAGGUUAUCUAAAAGGAACAUGCAAAACAUCAAUAUGGCUCUUCGAUACGAGGGCAAAGAGUAUGUCAUUAAGAAACAACUCGUUAAGAUCAAUGAGGUCAUUGCUACUCCUGAAGAAAUAGCCUUCUACAAGAAACACUAUGACGACGCGACUAAGGUUGCUUACAUCAUGGUUGCCGCCAUGAUUCCUGAGUUGCAAGAGUUCUAUGAGGACUACUGACCAUUCAAGAUGAACUUUGAUCUUGUGGAAAAGUUUCACAAAAGAAUGAGAGUUUAUCUGCAACCAUAUGCAAAGAAUGCAAAGAUACGUGGAGCGCCUUGAAAGGAUAAAUGUGAACUUCUAAGAGGAUUUGGCCAUUAACAUGGUCCAUAACUCCUUGCCUCCUUGUUACGAUUAGUUCAUUCUGGCUUAUCAUUUGAACAACAUAGAGAGCACAUAGACCCAACUCCACAACCUGUUGCGAAUAGCUAGGUCAAGAAUGAAGAAGAAUCAAACUCUUAACUCUACUAAUGCUCUUGUCCUUGCCAUUGGAAAAAAGAAAAGAAAGAAAAGGAAAGUUCUCCUAAGUAGAAUUGGAAAGGCAAGGCCCAUGUUGGGCCAUCUAGCAAUGAUCCAAAAGCAAAUCCCAGUUCUGAUAUUCCUUUUGUUAGUGAUCCCAAAUAGGCCAUUUUCUUAUAUUUAAAUGAUAAGAACCAUUGGAAAAGAAGCAGCCCCAAGUACUUGCAGGACAUCAAUGAUGGCAAAGUGAAGCCAUCGUCAGCAGGUAUUUACAUUAUUCAAACUAAUAACUCACAACCUACUCGUUCUUGGGUCCUUGAUACAAGAUUUGGUUCUUACAUUUGUUCUGAUUUGUAGGGACUAAGAGAAAGUGAAGAGAUGGAGCAUGGAAGAAUGAAUCUAAUCAUGGGAAAUACACAAUCUUCUCCUGUUGCCAAGAUUGGAACUUAUAGUCUUAUGCUUAGUAGUGAUAUUAUAUUAGAUUUAAUUAAUUAUUGCUAUUCGUCAGAAAUGACGCGAAACAUUAUUUCUUUUCAUGCAAUUUUUAGACAAGAUUUUCAAUAUUCGUUUAGUGACAUGAAUGGAU